GCCGCUAUAGCUCAGUCGGUAGAGCAACGCAUUCGUAACGCGUAGGUCGCCGGUUCAAGUCCGGCUAGCGGCU
rnacentral:tRNA from 1 species